GCUUGCUUCUCUUGAGAGCGGCGGACGGGUGAGUAAUGCCUAGGAAUCUGCCUGAUAGUGGGGGAUAACGUUCGGAAACGGACGCUAAUACCGCAUACGUCCUACGGGAGAAAGCAGGGGACCUUCGGGCCUUGCGCUAUCAGAUGAGCCUAGGUCGGAUUAGCUAGUUGGUGAGGUAAUGGCUCACCAAGGCGACGAUCCGUAACUGGUCUGAGAGGAUGAUCAGUCACACUGGAACUGAGACACGGUCCAGACUCCUACGGGAGGCAGCAGUGGGGAAUAUUGGACAAUGGGCGAAAGCCUGAUCCAGCCAUGCCGCGUGUGUGAAGAAGGUCUUCGGAUUGUAAAGCACUUUAAGUUGGGAGGAAGGGCAUUAACCUAAUACGUUAGUGUUUUGACGUUACCGACAGAAUAAGCACCGGCUAACUCUGUGCCAGCAGCCGCGGUAAUACAGAGGGUGCAAGCGUUAAUCGGAAUUACUGGGCGUAAAGCGCGCGUAGGUGGUUUGUUAAGUUGGAUGUGAAAUCCCCGGGCUCAACCUGGGAACUGCAUUCAAAACUGACUGACUAGAGUAUGGUAGAGGGUGGUGGAAUUUCCUGUGUAGCGGUGAAAUGCGUAGAUAUAGGAAGGAACACCAGUGGCGAAGGCGACCACCUGGACUAAUACUGACACUGAGGUGCGAAAGCGUGGGGAGCAAACAGGAUUAGAUACCCUGGUAGUCCACGCCGU
rnacentral:rRNA from 1 species